AACUUUUUAACGAAGCCUCCAUCAAUAAAUUGGUAUUCUUGAUUUUCGUUUUAUUUUGCCCUCUAGAAUCUCCCAUGUGGCCGAACACCCUGUAUAUACGGAUAUGUACCUUGACUAAUAAGCAAUUCUUGCCGUUUGACCGGAAUCAAUGUCGGUGAAAAGUAAAAUCGAACAUGAAUUCUGACGAUUGGCGAAUCAUUGGUUGUGUAUACGUUUCGCUGCAGUUCGCCCUUUAACUUAUAUUAUCGUUGUAUAGUGUUACGUCGAAUCAGAGUAUCCAAAUGACUGUGUCGAUGUAUAAUAUCGAACAAUACGUACGAUGUAUUAAUGUAUAUGUAACAGUAUCGUUAUUUCACCGAAGAAUACGUCUCAGCGGUUUGUCUCAGUUAUGCAUCAAAUGUUACAUGCUCGACAAAUGUUGUUGCCUCGCAAUUUUGUUUUCCGCAACCCUUCAUCGCAACAUUAUUUCCCGUAGUCUCUUAAUUUUUCAUUCGAGCAUAUCAUUGGUGUCGCUGUCGCAAAAGAAAAAUGAAAUUCCAUCCACUUUGCAUUUUUUCAAUGAAACCGUGUACAAAAACAUAGCUGUGUCUUCGUUAUGCAUCGUAUAUAUCCUUGCCAACUGUGUCCUACCAUAGCAUGUUAGUGUAAUGCACAUGUAGUCCGUUAGAUGGACUCGACUGCCAAAGUUAGUGUCGUUGUAGCAAUAAGUAAGAAGAUAUUAACUUUAUUUACAGAAAGAGUUUAAAAUGUUAAUGUUUCUUUUAUAUUAUGUCCAGUUACCGAUGCUUGUUCGGAGGCUUUCCUAAUUAUUCGAUUACGUUAAAAUUGUUAAGAUAAACAUAAGGACGAUAUUAAUUCGUAAGUGCCCUGACGAAAGGCACCGAGAUGUUCUCGUCAAAUCGUAGUCAAUACCAUUAAACGUAGAGUAGUUUUACAUAUCGAUGAACGUAUUUGUUCGAGUCUUGCCAAAAAGAAAAAAAAAUUAAACACACGCAGUACAAGAGAAUAGCGUCGCGAUAAUGGCAAUUUCAAAUAAAUUUCAUCCCCUUCGAAUAACAAAGUGCUCGAGAACGUUACAUUUAUGUAGACACUUAGCCAAACUAUAUCUGUAAUUUUUAUUCUGCCAGACCAAUUUGAGAUCUAUGAAUCUAAGCGCAAUAAACACCGCAGAUUCGAACAAUCGA